GUCCCCUGCACAGGAGCAGACCAGCAUUACAGGCAGCAUGGAACAGGAAGAAGUGCAUGAACCCCACAUCUGGCUGAGGAGAUAUUGACUUCAGAUAGCUUCUGGGAGAAGGAGGGCCAGGUUUCUUUAAGUUUGGCCCCUAUAGGUUGGAAGCUCCAGGGGAUGACUCCACAUUCAGGAAUAUAUGAGUGGUGCAAACGGGACUUGGGACAUCCCUGGGAUUGGAACUGAUGGAUCAAGAGUCGGACUCAUCAAUGUUCACCGUCAAGCAAAAAGUUCACAAACACAAGCACAUACCGAGUUUCUGCUCUAUUCGUUUCAGACUUUUUUCCUGUUCAUCAAGUUCUUGCUUUUUCUUCUUCAUAUCAGGAGUGUGAAGGUACUGCAGCUGAUUGUCCAAGUCCUCGUUCACAGAGCUCAGCCUGUACAGAGCAGUGCGAUACUGCUGAAU
rnacentral:lncRNA from 1 species